CCAGAGAGUAUGUAGGGGUACGUCUGCAAAACAUCUGUUGCCUAUGCAGUGUUUUCUUUCACAGAAUAGGAGAAUCAUAGAGCAGCUAAGAUGGGAAGGGACUUCUGGAGACUGCCUAGUCCAAACUCCCUGCUUGAGCAGGGUCAGCUAGAGGACGUCACUCAAAGCAGUGUCCAAUCAGAAAUCCUACUAUGUUCAACAAGAAUGAACCUAGG